rnacentral:rRNA from 1 species
UGCUAGCGUUGCUCGGAAUCACUGGGCGUAAAGGGUGCGUAGGCGGGCCUUUAAGUCAGGGGUGAAAUCCUGGAGCUCAACUCCAGAACUGCCUUUGAUACUGAAGAUCUUGAGUCCGGGAGAGGUGAGUGGAACUGCGAGUGUAGAGGUGAAAUUCGUAGAUAUUCGCAAGAACACCAGUGGCGAAGGCGGCUCACUGGCCCGGUACUGACGCUGAGGCACGAAAGCGUGGGGAGCAAACAGG